AUUGAACGCUGGCGGCAUGCCUUACACAUGCAAGUCGAACGGUAACGGGCCUUCGGGUGCCGACGAGUGGCGAACGGGUGAGUAAUGUAUCGGAACGUACCUUUCAGUGGGGGAUAACGUAGCGAAAGUUACGCUAAUACCGCAUAUUCUGUGAGCAGGAAGGCAGGGGGAUCGCAAGACCUUGCGCUGAUUGAGCGGCCGAUAUCAGAUUAGCUAGUUGGUGAGGUAAAGGCUCACCAAGGCGACGAUCUGUAGCGGGUCUGAGAGGAUGAUCCGCCACACUGGAACUGAGACACGGUCCAGACUCCUACGGGAGGCAGCAGUGGGGAAUUUUGGACAAUGGGGGCAACCCUGAUCCAGCCAUGCCGCGUGAGUGAAGAAGGCCUCGG
rnacentral:rRNA from 1 species